rnacentral:lncRNA from 1 species
GAGGUAUGUUAACUUCCAUUAUCUCUGUUUCUUGUUUUCUCUACUUCUUUUUGCAUGUUCUCCACAAGAUUGCAUGUAUUUUAGUGGAUUAUAUAUUUGUAUGUAUAAUGUCCUUCAAUCAUAAAUAACAAUGAGUAAUACCUACUAAAUGUUUUUGUGUAAGCAUAUGUUAUGAAAGGAAUAAAGCAGCAACAAUGGACUCAGCAAUGGAAUAAUAUUGAAACAGAAAUGCUAAAGGCAGAUACAAGGGAGACAAACACAAACCAGAGGUCAUAAGGAAAAUCAUCAAACCUCAACAUUUGAGGGAUUUCUAUAACUAAUUCGACAAGGAGUGCUGAGCUGGCAGAACUUAAUUGGCCAAAGGAGCAUAUGUUGUCUGCCAUUUAUACUUUUCUGUUAUUUGCCAACUUCUGUUAGUGUUGUUUGUUAGAAUUUGCUAGAAUGGGAUAACAACCUCUAGUAUUUGGCACUUAUAUAUAUGAAUGAAUCAUGUAAUAGAAUGGAAGUAGAAAAUAAUACAAGUCUUUCCUUCCCUCAUCUUUCUCUUAGGAGGUUCCUAGGCCUCGAACACUAUGGAAAUUCAUUGAGUUGAUCUCAGCUCAUAACAAUUUGGUGCUUUCAUUGAGCUUCAAUGGUUGCCUUCCAUGGCUGCUAUGCCAACCCAAACCACCUCUUCCCACGACAUCCGUUCCACAUAGCCACCCACCAGCACCUAUUUCUGCAGGACCUAUCCCCUUCAUUUCCGCACACCCCUUAUACUUUUGUACAUUCAGCUCAAUCCCUUGGGAUUGAUUUUGAGAGCACCCGCACACAUUUGCUAGGCUUGUUUGGUAUCGAGCGAACUCUUCCACCAUUAUCUCCCAUCUUACACCCGAAAAUGGAAAGGAAUUUCCACGUAGAUGUUGCGGACUCCAUUAUGGAUCGCAUUGUUGGAUCAAGUGACCUCGGAAUAAUUAAAUAGAGGGAGUUGAAUUAAUUAUCAAGUGUCCCUUGUUCUCUUUGAACAACCAAAUGGAUGCACGCUCCACUUGAACUGAUCCACAAGAGAUAUAUCAUCUCUUGUUCUCAGUAUUACAACCCAAGUAGAUGUAUGCUCUACUUGCACCACAAAGGAUGUACCUUCCAAUGUGGUAAGACAAAGAAUUUUUAGGCGGUUAGUCCCUUGAAUCUUUGUAAGGGGAAACAAAAGAUAUCUCAGGCGGUUAGUCCUUUGAAAUCUUUUGUUUAAAGGGAAAAGGAAGAAUCAAAAGAAUUCUCAGGUAGUUAGUCCUUUAAAUCUUUUGGCAAGAGGGAGAAGGAAGAAAAGAUAGCACACUUUUGUUUUUUGCAGAAUUUCCACUUGCAGAAAAAACAAAGUUUUGAAACAAAGUUUAGAAAACUUUUUGGCAAAGAAAAAGCAAUGGGCAAUGGUUAGAGAAAGAUUGUGAAAAAGGAUUGUUUGGAAGAAUAUCAUAUAUCUUGAACGUGUGUCAAAGUCAUGCUUUUAUAGACUCUUCAUGUCUAGUCAAAGAAAUCAUUGGAAGAGUUAUGACUUUUGAGAAAAUCAUGUUAAGAGUUAUAACUCUUAACUUUUUCUUUAAAACUAUUCACUGGUAAUCGAUUACCACAAAGGUGUAAUCAAUUACACAAUGUAUUUUAUGAAAAGUUGUGACUCUUCACAAUUGGAUUUGAAUUCCAACGUUCAAAUUCACUUGUAAUCGAUUACUAAUAUAGUGUAAUCAAUUACACUAUUUGAAAAUCAUUUUGGAACGUUGCAAACCAUUUGAAAAUAUUUUGAAAACCAAACUGGUCACUGGUAAUCGAUUACUGCCAACUGGUAAUUGAUUAUCAGAGAGUAAUUACUCUGGUAACUUUAGAAAAUUUGAGAAAAUUCUUUUGUAAAACAAAACUGUGCUAUUUGGUUUUUGAAAAAUCUUUUAAUACUUAUCCUAUAUGAAGUCUUGACUUGUUGCUUCUUGAUUUCUUCUCUUGAAUCUUGAAUCUUGGAUUGGAUUUUUGAUGCUUGAUCUUGAAGUCUUGAAUCAAUCACUUGGGCUUUUGGCAUCAUCAAAAUUGCUUGGUUCAUCAUCAUGAAGCUUGCUUCUACACGCAUCGAAGCAACCAUCGCAAAACUCACCCCCAAUCAACUCAAACUUGCCACUGCCGUCGACACCAUGGCCUCCACAAUUGACGACCUUCUUCAGCGACUGAGCCUUCGCCAUCCCACUCCUCACUUUCCAUCUUCCUCCCCUCUGUAGUCACCGCCACCAACUGCCCCCAUACCGAUCAUGCCUCCCAUGCCAACUCCAAUUCCACGGCCCAAACUCAUGCAGCAACAUCCCGCAUCCUUGCCGGCUCCGCUUACCAGCAGAGGAGACACUACGGGGAAGCUUGUAGCACCACUUCACCCUACCUUGCCUUUUGAGAGCGGCAACAACAUCCAUCGUGGUACCUGUCUUCCAUUUAACAUGCUCAGUGUAGGUAACAAAGUACCGCAGACCAUCCCUGAGAAAGUUCUUAAAGACUCUACGAGCCAAACAACGAAUCCCGAGUUUCGUAAUGUUCUGCAUGUUGUCGCACAACACCACCUUGUGCCCCUUGGCUCCUCCCCUGCAUCCCUCCCAUGACCACCGUAUCGGCCGCUGUCACCUCCACCACCACCACCGAAGCCAUCGCCUCCACCACCACCACGGUCAAUGCGGGUUUGCACUUCAUGGGUAGUGAUGUUUGGCCAUCAAGGUCUUCGCCGUGCAAACUGCUGUUCACAACUCUCGCUCCCUCUUGUGGCUUCUUCUUUAGACCAUGCAACAACAAUAUCUCUUCAAUUUGGUGAGUUCCCUUCGUGGCUUGCACCCAUUGGAGCAGUAGUUAGAGCUGCUGGUGUUUCUACGAGCCACAACCAAACAGAGAAAAGGCAUAGGGAUAGGAUUAAUGCUCUGCGGCGCAGGUCACCACCCAGCCCACUCACCUUCACGAUGUUGGUAACCCUCGAGGAUUAUCAUUCUCAUGGCCCUAACCAGCCCAGCAACUUCACUCAUGUACUUUUCUUCUUUCUAUACUCACCCCCUUGUUUCAGCUUUUUUUUUAUUGCCCACUUUUCUUUUUCUACACCUCCAUCUUUCCCAUAACAAGCCCAAAUCACCAUGGCCCAAAUUUCACUCACGUGUUAUUUUUCUUUUUUUCUAAACCCACCUCGUGUUUUAGCUAUUUUGUUUUUGAACUGUGCCAUCAAGUUGUUUCGAGGUCUGGAUUUGAGGUCCCAACACCUUGAGGACAAGGUGUUUGUGAUGAGCCAGGGAAUGUUAUGAAAGGAAUAAAGCAACAACAAUGGACUCAGCAAUGGAAUAAUGCUGAAACAGAAAUGCUAAAGGCAGAUACAAGGGAGACAAACACAAACCAGAGGUCAUAAGGAAAAUCAUCAAACCUCAACAUUUGAGGGAUUUCUAUAACUAAUUCGACAAGGAGUGCUGAGCUGGCAGAACUUAAUUGGCCAAAGGAGCAUAUGUUGUUUGCCAUUUAUGCUUUUCUGUUAUUUGCCAAAUUUUGUUAGUGUUGUUUGUUAGAAUUUGCUAGAAUGGGAUAACAACCUUUAGUAUUUGGCACUUAUAUAUAUGAAUGAAUCAUGUAAUAGAAUGGAAGCAGAAAAUAAUACAAGUCUUUCCUGUUAGACAAGUGGUCUCAGAUAUCUUAAGAAGGGGGUUGAAUUAAGAUAUCAAAGACUAUUCCCCAAUUAAAAUUUUAACUCUCUUUCUGAAUUAUUAAUGCACCCUAAAUAUGAAUUACUAAAACCACAAUUCAAAAUAAAACUUCUUUAACGCAAAAGAUAAAUGACAAUAAAUAAAAGAAGUUUAAGGGAAGAGAGAAUGCAAACUCAGUUUUAUACUGGUUCGGUCACACUCUUGUGCCUACGUGUAAUCCCCAAACAACCCGCUUGAGAGUUUCACUAUCUUGUAAAAUCCCUUUUACAAUGUCUGAACCACAUAAGGACAACCCUUCCUUUGUGUUCAGAUAACCUUACAACAAGAGUCCCUCGGUCCC